UACGAAGGGGGCUAGCGUUGCUCGGAAUCACUGGGCGUAAAGCGCACGUAGGCGGACUCUUAAGUCGGUGGUGAAAUCCUGGAGCUCAACUCCAGAACUGCCUUUGAUACUGAAGAUCUUGAGUUCGGGAGAGGUGAGUGGAACUGCGAGUGUAGAGGUGAAAUUCGUAGAUAUUCGCAAGAACACCAGUGGCGAAGGCGGCUCACUGGCCCAUUACUGACGCUGAGGCACGAAAGCGUGGGG
rnacentral:rRNA from 1 species